rnacentral:lncRNA from 1 species
GAGCAUGCUCUCUGCCAGAGCUCGGGACUGGUGCUGACCUGCAGGAUGGAGGAGAGAAGAGAAGACUCAUCAACAGAACAAAUGUUGCUGGAACAUUACUUAUAAUGGCAACAAUUGGAAACAAUCAAAGGAUGUCACUAUAGGGACUUGGGUUAAGAAAAUUAUGACACAUCAAAAGCACAGUGAAGAGAACUUCUGUCAAUCCUGUCAAGCACAUGAAGAUGUGAAGUUUCAACUGGAUUCAUUUCUAUAAAUAAGUUAAGUUCUUCCUAAUUUAUAAGAAAUAACACUUGGACAACUUAAUAGUGUAUUUUCCCAGCCGAUACAAUUUCCAGAAAACCCUGAAGUCAGGAAAACCAAUGUUACUAAUGGCCUUAGGCUACGAGAAGAUCUGGUUAAGAGUAUCCUAAGGGAGGAUCUAAGCCUGUUCAUACUCUACAAGCAAAGAAACAUUAAAAAACAAAACAAAAAACCAAAACUUGAAGAAACGAAGUGACCAGUUCACUACCAUUCAACUAUUAAGGGAUAGAGCCAGGACUCAGUAUCUAGUCAUGUGAUGACAAAGCCCGCACUCUUACUGUACAGCCUCACCUUGGAUAAAUCUCAUUUCAAGACAGGUAAUUUUGAGAAUAUCUUAGGCCCCCCUUCUAUCAAAGAGAGGGAUCGAAUUUAAAAUUUAUCUGGAAUGCCAACUCUGAUUAACUCCCUGGAGAGAGUCCCUGGAGGACUGGUUGAGAAGAACCCUGAGGAUGCAUCAGUGUUCAUCAGGAAAGGGCGCCAACACCCAGCGUGCCCACUCAUGAGCAGGGAGGAGAUGAUGCAUGGGAAUCCACAACUCUAUCUCAAGUUUCCCAGACACACACUAAAGCUCUGCAGAAGAUUUUGGUGCCCCUGAGCUACUUUUACACAGCAAAGAAGACUUCUGAUGUGAUUCCUGGUGGCAGUGCGUAGUAUGCGAUGAUUUCCAUCAGAGUGGCUGGGUUUGUCAAAGCUUUAUUAGAGAUUCCUAUGAUUUGAAGAAAAAGCCAGGGUCCUAUUUUGGCAACUUUUCUGAUAUAAGUAAUAAAAACAAAAUGCCAUGAAUUUAAAUUGUUAGGUUUCUUUUUUACAAAAAGUUUAUACUCAAAAUGUACAAUACCCAAUUACAAGUUGCAUAUGUAUAUAAAAUACCCAAUUAAAAGAUGAAGAAAUAGAAGAAAAUCAACAAAGUCUGUCAACUGAAAUGUUCCUGAAACACCAAGUUUUUGGCCAGGCUCCUAAGACUCCCCACCAGUACAAUACAAACAUUAAAAAUUUUUAAAGCUCAGAAGUAAUUUACUUUUCAGCAGCACCACACGUGAUCAAAACAGGGGGAAGGUUGGAGGAGAAAUAGGCUGUGCCACUAGUUUAUGCGUCUAAACCAAAAUCCAACAACCAUUUCACCUUCCUUGCUAAAGAGAGAAAAGGACCAGGAACUAGCACAGAGUUAACCAUAGGAUUGCUUAUCUGUGAACAAUGAAAU